rnacentral:rRNA from 1 species
AUGGCGAUGCAGAUGUCGGCCGCCGGAGGUGUUGAAGUCGAGUUUUUGUCAGAUCCCGUCGACAGAUUUCCACUGCGAGAUCUCGCUGCCGCACAGCCCUUGGUUGCUUACGAGACGUACAAAUCCAUGGAGUGUGAGCCUGCUGAGUCCAGCAUUGGUGAUGUGGGAGACGCUCCGGUCAACAGUAAUUGCAAUGCGAUUGCCUUGUCUGCAGCAGCAUCUGAGCAUUCUACGGGCAAAGACACCCCUGAAGCCCCAGGCUGGAGGAAGAGAAUGCGAGUCGGAAGUUCAUCUAGCGAGCGCCACCCAUGCGCUGAUAGGAUGAGUGCUUUGGAAGCAACACUAAGAAGCUAUGCAGAGAAAAAAAUGACACUGUCGUAG